UCGAUAUAGCCAGGCAAAAAAUAGUUUCGGCGCCCCAUAAGGUGGAACUGCUUGCGUCUAAAAGACAGAACAUCUAGCUAUCUAUUAGUAUAGCAGUCCUAUCUUGAUACACAGCAUAGCAUAAUACUGAUCCUGUUUAACAACAGUGUCAAUUUUAUACAUUGUUCUGUGUUAAUUAUUAAACAGUCACACAUUUUUACUAUAGUUUUUAUAUCCGGUUACUUUUACUCGUCAGGUUGUUCCAUCAAUCCAACGGACCUUGAAAUAUAAUAACUUUUGAAUUAGACAAAAGUUAGUCGGAAAGUACUUCAAUCUUCUGAAAACUUAUAGGUGAAACCUGGCUGAAUGUUCUUCAAAACAAAUUAGUUCAAAAAAAAAACAUUUUCUACUCUUGAAAAACGUCACUCAGUAAUCAAGUUUUUGUCACUCAAAGGCCGAUGAGCUACGAAAAUUUGUCCGACAGUGAUGUAAAUAAUAGUAAUAACUAGCGAGAACUUGAAAUCUCAGAGCUCUCUCAGGUUAAAUUGCCAUUUCACGUAUAGAGUAUUACAGAAAUAUAAGCUAAAUAUUGAAAAUGCAUAAACUGAGUAGGAGAAUUAGCCCCCUGUGAAGUGGCUUAAAAGGCCAGCCGGAAGUACGUGUAGUGUACCCCCAUGCGCAAUUUUAAUCGACAGAAAACACAUUUGCCACCAUAAACGAGGUAUAUUUCAAUUUUUAUCGCCAGCCUGAGAAAAACAGGCCAGCCUGUUUUUGGCAUUGGCCUGAGAAAGAUUGCCGCUGAAAUCGGAAGCAUCUACUGCUAUAAAAUACUCGCAGAAAAUUAGAUAGUUAAUGCAGCUUGCUCUUUUGAAUUGCUCAAAAGACUCAUGAGUUGCUGGCAUGCAGCCUGAUUCCUCGAUGACAAUGUCAGACCUCAUCGCCAUAUCUAGACUGAACGGAGAAAUAUCCAACAUUGGGUUCAGCCCAUUUGUUCCCGAUUCAAAUCCGUGCGAUGCCUUAAAAGGGGGCGAUUACUAAACAAGCAUACCCCACUCUUGGUUUACUUCGAAAAGCCGCUGACAGAGAGAUUAGAUAUGGAAAUAUGAAUAUGGCCUGCUAGCGCGCUGAAGCAAGUAGGUAAGCAAUCAAGGAGAGCACCUGCCACACAUAUUAUGAAGUCGCAUUUCUAAUCCAAUAAUACAAUGAUUUGCUUUACUAUAAGACUACAUCAAUUUGUAUGUGCCUGAUUCGACAGUCUACCAAACUGUGACCCUGAAUAAAUUUGACCAUUAAAAUGGUAAAAAAAAAAAGGUAAGCAACGUCAAUUAAACCUAUGAUAGGACCGGCCUGUCUGCUUGCAACCUAGCAGCAGUAAGUGCCAUUUUUAGCGAGUAUAACGAAGUCUCAGCCUAUAGCUGCUAGCAUCAUUGUCUUAUCUUAUUUUGUUCUGUGUUCUUUGUGCACUUUAUAGAAAAUGGCAAGAACAGUCUCAAUCUAUCUUGUAAGUUAUUACCGUACUAGCACCUGUUCCAUCUAAUUGUCGCACUUCGGCAAAACAGCAACAGAAGUAGCGGUGCCUUAUUAUUUCGAAAUAAUUUUUCGAAGCAAUGAAGGUCAAGGAUCACUACGACACUCUUAGUUCGUAGUAAAAAAAAAAGUACUUCCGAAGCAGUAAAGUUAUCUUUUCUGGCAUCGAGAAGAUCGUUUUGUAAUUUGGUAAACCCCUAUUUAUCCAAAGGAAAGGGUAUGAUUUACAUAAAAUGGGACGACACUCUUAUUUACCAGUUAAAUAGAUACCAUAGAAAAUGAGAGAUGUCGAGAGGCAGAGAUCGUGUCGAGGAGGCAAGAUCGUUGCGGGCGACAGCAUACGCGCGCCUCUGUUCUCGGUUGGAGCUCAUUGUGUGACAGUUAUGUGUUGUUCCCCGCACACAGGCCAUUUGCGCCUGACCUCGGCCGAUUUGGCCCGACUGAAUGAGGAUCGCCCUCGAGUGCCAUAUGGCCGCCCAUCAACCAGGCGCCCUGCCGCCCACCAAAGGCGCAAGCUGAUAACUUCAAUGAGAAGAGAAGUCCGCUCUUGUCCUUGUGGUCUUCUCUGCUUGAAACCCCUCGAAAGUCAUGUUUUUCGAAAACAGAUAGGCAGACUGAACGCAGAAAAGAUUGGCUUCAUUAUAAAUCUAACAUGAAACCAUGUGCGAAGUGAAACGCGACUUCGGCGGCAUUUUGGUCAAUUUCAUUUAUUAUUGAAGCAUUCAUCUAUUGGACUCGGAUUGCUUUGUCUGUCAGAUUUAGCAAACGUCAAUUGGUUUCGAGCGUGAGCAAAUGUCUUGGGUCCGGAUUCUUACUCAAGGAUGUAGUACGAAGUUCAAUAUAAUAUCGACAGAGAAAACGUAUUACAGGCUUCAUCCACUAGAUCAUAGUAUCACUGUCACAUUCACCGGAAUCAGUGCACGGCAUCGUGGGCAAAUGUGUUGAAACUGCAGCGAAUAGCAAUAUCAGAAAGUUAACGAAGAAAUCUACAUGUCCAAUAAAACCGUUUCUCUUAGCCAAUUGACAUGAAGAUAACCAAUCAUCGAAC
rnacentral:lncRNA from 1 species